rnacentral:rRNA from 1 species
AGCAGCCGCGGUAAUUCCAGCUCCAAUAGCGUAUAUUAAAGUUGUUGCAGUUAAAAGCUCGUAGUUGAAUUUCGGGGUUCUACGGUCGGUCAGGCUAACGUCUGUACUGGCGUGUAGAAUUCCUACCUUUCUGGGGAACCAUCAUGUUAUUAAUUUAGCGUGGUGGGAAACCAGGACCUUUACCUUGAAAAAUUAGAGUGUUCAAAGCAGGCUUAUGUCUGAAUACAUUAGCAUGGAAUAAUAAAAUAGGACGGUGGUCCUGUUUUGUUGGUUUCUGAAUCACCGUAAUGAUUAAUAGGGAUAGUUGGGGGCAUUAGUAUUCAAUUGUCAGAGGUGAAAUUCUUGGAUUUAUUGAAGACUAACUUCUGCGAAAGCAUUUGCCAAGGAUGUUUUCAUUAAUCAAGAACGAAAGUUAGGGAUCGAAGACGAUCAGAUACCGUCGUAGUCUUA